ACCUCUCCGGUUGCUUAGUGGUGAGAGCGUCCGCCUCAGAUGCGGAGGGUUGCGGGUUCGAAACCCAACCGAGGCU